CUACGUGCCAGCAGCCGCGGUAAUACGUAGGUCCCGAGCGUUGUCCGGAUUUAUUGGGCGUAAAGCGAGCGCAGGCGGUUUGAUAAGUCUGAAGUUAAAGGCUGUGGCUCAACCAUAGUUCGCUUUGGAAACUGUCAAACUUGAGUGCAGUAGGGGAGACUGGAAUUCCUGGUGUAGCGGUGGAAUGCGCAGAUAUCAGGAGGAACACCGAUGGCGAAGGCAGGUCUCUGGGCUGUAACUGACGCUGAGAAGCGAAAGCAUGGGGAGCGAACAGGAUUAGAUACCCUGGUAGUCCAUGCCGUAAACGUUGGGCACUAGGUGUGGGGGACAUUCCACGUUUUCCGCGCCGUAGCUAACGCAUUAAGUGCCCCGCCUGGGGAGUACGGCCGCAAGGCUAAAACUCAAAGAAAUUGACGGGGGCCCGCACAAGCGGCGGAGCAUGCGGAUUAAUUCGAUGCAACGCGAAGAACCUUACCAAGGCUUGACAU
rnacentral:rRNA from 1 species